AAUGGUUAGGGGGGUGAGUUAGCGGUAGAACUCGGGUUGGAGAGAGAAACGAGAGAGAGAGAUUACGUGUGUGUGUGCGAGAGAGAAAGAGAACGGAGAAAAGGUUACGUAAAUGUGAAUCGACUGAAGAAGAAAGAAACAGCAAUUAUCUCUCUUUUUCUUCUCUCUCUCUAUUUAGCUUCUCUAGCGGUGGCCUACGGCUACGAGAUUCGCCCGUCCUCUACCUUUGGGGACUUCCACCCUCAUCAAAGAUCGGAUUCAUCCUCGUCCCAAACGCCGGAGAGUUAUGGUGGACACCGACAACAUGCCCGAUUCCUCUCACAACCUGGAGGAUGAAGUUGGGAGAGUGGUUGAGCAGGCCAAAGAGUUGCAUGAAUCUGCUGCAUCUCUAAUCUCCAGAACAGCCAUCGACGAACAGUCUCUCCGCCAACGUGCUCUCUCUCUUGACUCUUCACUUCGCCGUCUUCGUUCUUUACUCAAUUCGCUUCAAUCCAAGAAGCUUGUGGACUCUAAGCUUGCUGAAAAGCUGGAAGAUGACUUGCAAAGAGCUAAAUGUAUGAUGACUGACGGAGAGGUUGCAUCGUUUCUUCCUGGGAAGCCGCAAGGGAGGUUCUUGCGGAUGUUUCUGGGACCUAUAAAUGUGCGUGCUUCAAGGAAAGAUGUUCAGUUGAAAGUUAAAGAGGAAUAUAACAGUUACAGGGACAGGACUGCUCUUCUUUUUCUCCUUUUCCCCUCUCUGCUGCUUGUUCUAAGAGGCUGGGUUUGGGAUGGAUGCUUGCCUGCAUUUCCAGUUCAACUGUACCAGGCAUGGCUCUUGUUCCUAUACACAGGAUUGGCAUUGCGUGAAAACAUACUAAGAGUCAAUGGCAGUGACAUUCGCCCUUGGUGGAUCUAUCAUCACUAUUGCGCUAUGAUUAUGGCACUAGUUAGUCUUACGUGGGAGAUCAAAGGACAGCCAAAUUGUGCCCAAAAGCAGAGAGGUGUACAACUCUUUCUACAGUGGGCCAUGAUGCAAGGAGUUGCAAUGCUUUUACAAAAUAGAUAUCAGCGGCAGAGGCUUUAUACUCGGAUUGCUCUUGGAAAGGCUAAGAGAAUGGAUGUCGUUUGGGGAGAAACAGCUGGUGUAGAUGGUCAACUAUGGAUACUGUGUCCUAUACUCUUUAUCUUACAGGGCUUUGAGGCAUACGUUGGCUUACUUCUCCUCAAGACUGCAUUGGUGGGUGUGGUGCCUGAAUGGCAGGUACUAUUUUGUGGAUUCCUUUUGGUUCUAAUGGCGGUCGGGAACUUCUCAAAUACAGUUCAAACCUUAAUGGUAAAAUCAAGAUUCAAGGCAAAGAUGAAAAGAAGCAAGAGCAAGCAGGAAUUGGCCCAGACCAAUUAAUACGUAGGAUUACUUAAAUCAACAACUUGUAGGAUCUAUUCUUUACCUUUUCAGGUCUUGAAUAUGUUUUGUCGAAGCUGAUCUGUGAGAAUUGUCCUUCCCCCCUUUUUUAUAUCAUCAUUUUGACUCAAUACAUUUUUAUCAUGUAAAGUUGGUCUUGCAUAGGUUCUUCCCCGGAGAAGUUGAUGGAAGUGCUUCUAAGCGCAGGACUCGUGUUCCAGUUACCAUAUCUUUCAGCGUUGUCGUUAUCGAAAUUGGGGUAACAUAAAACUUUGUGAGCUUACUGCAUAGAAGUUUUGAGCCAAGUUAAACCCGAAACUAAAACCACCUUUCCGUUUAACUACUGUCUGCCGAGUAUACUUGAUUAUGAAGGCUGAAUGCAACUUUAUGGGAAAAAAAAGAGUUUAGCUGUUCCAUUAUCGAGUUGAACAGAAAUUGAACAGAAAUUCUUGGGUUCAAAAUUCAUUGACUGAUACCGUAGAAUUAUGACAUCCUCAAUAGGUUUUUUAUUGUACUUGUAAAUGGUCUUCCAUAAUUUUACAUGAUCUUUGUAAACCUUGAGAAACAUUGUAAUUAAAUGCUUCGGAUGAAAUAUGUAAUAUUUUAUCUUUGCUUUGUGGAGGCA